GACGAACUGCCCAAACGUUGUUCGGAAUCACUGGGCUUAAAGGGCGCGUAGGCGGCAGAUCAAGUCAGGGGUGAAAUCCGGCAGCUCAACUGUCGAAGUGCCUUUGAUACUGAUUUGCUCGAGGGAGAUAGGGGUCUGUGGAACUUCUGGUGGAGCGGUGAAAUGCGUUGAUAUCAGAAGGAACGCCGGUGGCGAAAGCGACGGACUGGAUCUCUUCUGACGCUGAGGCGCGAAAGCUAGGGGAGCGAACGGG
rnacentral:rRNA from 1 species